rnacentral:rRNA from 1 species
CCUACGGGAGGCUGCAGUGAGGAAUAUUGGUCAAUGGACGAGAGUCUGAACCAGCCAAGUAGCGUGAAGGAUGACUGCCCUAUGGGUUGUAAACUUCUUUUAUAUGGGAAUAAAAUGUUCCACGUGUGGGAUUUUGUAUGUACCAUAUGAAUAAGGAUCGGCUAACUCCGUGCCAGCAGCCGCGGUAAUACGGAGGAUCCGAGCGUUAUCCGGAUUUAUUGGGUUUAAAGGGAGCGUAGGUGGAUUGUUAAGUCAGUUGUGAAAGUUUGCGGCUCAACCGUAAAAUUGCAUUUGAAACUGGCAGUCUUGAGUACAGUAGAGGUGGGCGGAAUUCGUGGUGUAGCGGUGAAAUGCUUAGAUAUCACGAAGAACUCCGAUUGCGAAGGCAGUUCACUGGACUGCAACUGACACUGAGGCUCGAAAGUGUGGGUAUCAAACAGGAUUAGAUACCCGAGUAGUC